GGCUAAGUGGGGCCACCCUGCUGGAAGAAAUACAUAUAAGAGUAGGAGCUUUGACUUUUUAAUUCUAUGUCUAACCCUCUCAUUCUAGGUGAUUUCUGAUUCUCUAGUUCCAUGGCUUCAACUAUGAUCUGACAAUACCAACUGCGUGUUUCCAGCAAGGAUUUCACCCUUAAGCUCCAGAAUCAUAUACCUGCCUGCUUACUUGACACAUACACUUCAAUUCUAACAGCUCUUACUCCAUGUAAACAAAUUCUGCUUAUUUGGUUCACUGCUACAUCUUAACACCUAUGAUAAUGUCUAUCUGUAAUAAGCCCCUACUCUAUAUUAUUGAAUUAAUAAAGAAUGGAGAUCCCAGAAUGGAACCCUGAAGGAACGCUCAUAUUUGAGGAUUUGGGGAAUAAUAAUAAAAGAAGCUUGUAAAGAAAACUGAAUAGUCUCCAAAGAAGACAAAAAUAAACCGAAAGAGUUCAGUGGCCUCACUGAAGCCACAGGAAGUGACUAUGUCCAGCUUGAGGAAGUGGUUAACACUUGAAAAUGCUACAGUGAAAAUUCUGACCAGCACAGACCAGUUAAGAAGUUGCUGCAAUAAUUUAGGAUAAAAGAGUAGCCUACUAGUAUUUAACUGAUGCCACAACACAGCCAGCUUCCACUGAUGUACAGGGGAUGGAGGACAACAUGAGCUGAAUAAGCAAACCUCAGCAACAUUCUCCAGGACUGAUUUCUUGCACUCAAAGGCUCAUAGAUUCUCAAAAUCUGAAAUUGGAAGCUGGAAGUUGUAAAAAAACUACAAAUUCGGGGAACAAUUAAGUAAUGCCACUAUAAUAUUCAAGAAAGCAAAAUUGAACACAUAGGAAAAUAGAAUUUGUUCAAAGAAGGAAGAUCCUGUCAUUGAAAUAAGAGAUAAAUCAAAAGUUAAAUGGGAGAGAUUAUCUUUAGGAAGAGGCAUCAGCUGACUGAGGCAGAGGCAGUGGAGAGUGGACAUUUCUCUCUGUUAAGAGAUCUCAAAAGAAAGGCAUCAGAUAACAGUAAAACAAGUUGAAAUUUGUCUUCAUCAUUAUCCCUGCCACUCUACUGUUUUUUGGACACUGUGUGCCUCAAGUGGAAAGUAGGACUAGAAAAGCAUCAGUGAUUCUGUCUGGCAGCCCUUGUAAGUGUGGGAGG